rnacentral:tRNA from 1 species
AGCCUUGGGGUGUUUAACAUAUAAGAUUGCAAAUCUUAAGAAGCAGGCUAAUCCCUGCCGGGGCUU